ensembl:lncRNA novel transcript
CCUGAGUCCUGUGUCCACCAGCUGCUGCUAAAUACCUCUGAGAAACUCUGCUUCUAUCUAAGGGGACCUACUUCUCUCGGGAAUCUCAAUACUUGGAACAAGAACCUCCUAGACGGACCCUUUGGCAUAAUGAAUUGGACCAACUGUAGGUUCCAGGACUAGAGAGCCAGCAAUGCCUCCAUGAACAAUCUCACCCAAUUACUCUGCUCAGGAAACGAGGUAACUGAUGGACAGCCGAGGCAGCCCCUUAGGCGGCUUAGGCCUCCCCUGUGGAGCAUCCCUGAGGCGGACU